rnacentral:rRNA from 1 species
ACCUAGCGGCGUGCCUAAUCAUGCAAGUCGAGCGAACGGACGAGAAGCUUGCUUCUCUGAUGUUAGCGGCGGACGGGUGAGUAACACGUGGAUAACCUACCUAUAAGACUGGGAUAACUUCGGGAAACCGGAGCUAAUACCGGAUAAUAUUUUAGAACCGCAUGGUUCAAAAGUGAAAGACGGUCUUGCUGUCACUUAUAGAUGGAUCCGCGCUGCAUUAGCUAGUUGGUAAGGUAACGGCUUACCAAGGCAACGAUGCAUAGCCGACCUGAGAGGGUGAUCGGCCACACUGGAACUGAGACACGGUCCAGACUCCUACGGGAGGCAGCAGUAGGGAAUCUUCCGCAAUGGGCGAAAGCCUGACGGAGCAACGCCGCGUGAGUGAUGAAGGUCUUCGGAUCGUAAAACUCUGUUAUUAGGGAAGAACAUAUGUGUAAGUAACUGUGCACAUCUUGACGGUACCUAAUCAGAAAGCCACGGCCAACUACGUGCCAGCAGCCGCGGUAAU